UACGUAGGUGACAAGCGUUAUCCGGAUUUACUGGGUGUAAAGGGCGUGUAGGCGGGUUUGCAAGUCAGAUGUGAAAUCCCGGGGCUUAACUCCGGAGCUGCAUCUGAAACUGCAUAUCUUGAGUAUCGGAGAGGAAAGUGGAACUCCCAGUGUAGCGGUGAAAUGCGUAGAGAUUGGGAAGAACACCAGUGGCGAAGGCGGCUUUCUGGACGAUAACUGACGCUGAGGCGCGAAAGCGUGGGGAG
rnacentral:rRNA from 1 species